GCCACCAGCUUGGACUGCAUGCCUCAGGCCUGGCAGCCUAACCUCACAGCUGGGCUUCCUCAUCUCCCAGAAUUCCAGAGGGACACUAUCACUCCAGAAGAAACUCGUCUGGUCUCCUUGGCUCCAAACCGCACACGCAGAUGGAAAGGCCUCGAGAUCUGGAUCCCAGGUGUGCCCUUCCACUUCUGGAUUGCAGUUCAUUCCAGACAGAGUCGAGUCUGGCAACUGGGAGUAGCUACCACACUAGCCACGAGGGACGAACCAUCAGCAGCUUUCCUUUGUGGCCUCGGCGUCAGCUCCGGCCUCCAGGUGUCUGCCCUGUUUGAGUUUGUGUUCUGAUUUCCUUCAGUGAUGAUCAUGUGAGCAAGAAAGCCAAACAAACCCUUGUCUUCCCAA